ACCCAAUAUUAUAUCUUAAUCCAACAUCGAGGUCACAAUCUUUUUUAUCAAUAUGAACUUUCCAAAAAAAUUAUGCUGUUAUCCCUAAAGUAACUUAAUUUAUUAAUCAAUAAUAAAAGAUCAAAUAAUCAUAAAUUAAUGUUUUAAAAAUUAAAAGUUUUUUAAAUUUUAAUAUCUCCCCAAUAAAAUAUAAAUCAACAUUUAAAUAUAAAUAAUCUAUAUUAUAAAAACAUAAAUUUAUAUAAAGAUUUAUAGGGUCUUCUCGUCUAUUAAAUAAAUUUUAGCUUUUUUACUAAAAAAUAAAUUUCUACAAUAAUUUUAAUUGAAACAGUUAAUAUCUCGUCAAACCAUUCAUCCCAGCCUUCAAUUAAAAGACUAAUUAUUAUGCUACCUUUGCACAGUUAAAAUACUGCGGCCAUUCAAUAC
rnacentral:rRNA from 1 species